CAAACAAUAGAAAACAAAAACAAAAUGAAGAUUAGAAGUCAAGAAACAAAUAAAAUAUUUUUGGCAUUUUUUAAUAUUAAAAUAAAACUUGAAUUAAAAUAAUAAAGAAAGGUCAAACUUCAAACUCACUUUAAAUCAACUUUGAAAAGUCCAACUGAAUUAUCCCAAGUUCAACAAGGUCAAACAAAGUUUGACAAAAAAUUUCAGCAUUU
rnacentral:lncRNA from 1 species